rnacentral:rRNA from 1 species
AUUGAACGCUGGCGGUAUGCUUAAGACAUGCAAGUCGAACGGUAACAGACCUUCGGGUGCUGACGAGUGGCGGACGGGUGAGUAACACGUGGGAAUCUACCUUGUAGUGGGGGAUAAGCCAGGGAAACUUGGACUAAUACCGCAUACGCCCUAAGGGGAAAGGAGUAAUUCGCUAUAAGAUGAGCCCGCGUCUGAUUAGCUAGUUGGUGAGGUAAAGGCUCACCAAGGCGACGAUCAGUAGCUGGUCUGAGAGGAUGACCAGCCACAUUGGGACUGAGACACGGCCCAGACUCCUACGGGAGGCAGCAGUCGGGAAUAUUGGACAAUGGGGGCGAACCCUGAUCCAGCAAU